rnacentral:sRNA from 1 species
AUCUUUCACAUUUUACCUGGCUGUUUCAAGGAAUAUUACUCCCGAUGUUUCCAAAACGCCGAAGAAAAUAUGAUUAUGGAUUCAAAAAGACAGGGAUCUUCUAGCACUCACAAGAAUUCAACAUACACCAGGAAUUAACGAACAGAUCAGCAUGCCUUUCUUUUAUCGAAAAACUCCCGACUCUCCAUUGAAAACAGUACAGGUACAUCUAUUUACCGACGAGGCGAGUUAUUUAGAUAACACGCGUUCUGAUUGGUCGAAAAGCGCCCACGUGACGAGUCUAGACUUUUUGGCGCGGCAUCGUGUCUAUUUGCGAGUUAUAAACUAUGUUAUCAUGCGGCCGAUCGCUUCAAAAACCACCGAUCGCUGAAAUCCGGGAGCGGAUUCACACAGGACUUUGAAUUACUCACACAAAAAACUAUUUAAAAGACUUAAAGAGGGUUUGGAUAUUCAUUUAUAGAACAAUAUGUAUGCAUCUGUGUUUGAAUUUUUUUAACACGCAAAUUCCUAGAUUCUAACGAAUGUUUUUUUUCUCUAUAUUUAAUAUUUGGGGAUCUUUUUUAUCAAAGUUUUAGGUAUAUUUAAUAUUUUUUUCAUAUUCUUAACUUAGACAUUACUGCUUGAAAACUUUACUGUCAAUAAAUAUUAAUUUUAUGGUUCAUUU